UCAACAGAUAGAAUUACGCACAUUUCGAUCUGACUAUACGUGUCUUGUGAGGGCUGGCUUUAGCUAAUUUGGAACCACCUACAAAACAUGUACAUGUGGGCUCAUUACCUCCGGUUUACAACCUGGUGAUAUGGCUUCUGUCUGUAAUGCACUUAGUUCGAUCUGUAGCCAUUGGAUGGGCUGACGAGGACCUGAGCCCUAGGACCAUGCCCCAGGACUACCUGACAUGAUGACUCCCUGCUGUCCCCAGUCCACCUGGCCAUGCUGCUGCUCCAGUUUCAACUGACCUGAGCCCUAGGACCAUGCCCCAGGACUACCUGACAUGAUGACUCCUUGCUGUCCCCAGUCCACCUGGCCAUGCUGCUGCUCCAGUUUCAACUUCCACCUGACUGUGCUGCUGCUCCAGUUUCAACUGUUCUGCCUUAUUAUUAUUCGACCAUGCUGGUCAUUUAUGAACAUUUGAACAUCUUGGCCAUGUUCUGUUAUAAUCUCCACCCGGCACAGCCAGAAGAGGACUGGCCACCCCACAUAGACUGGUUCC
ensembl:lncRNA